UUUUCUUUUGCCUCCACCCCUUGACUGUGCGAAGGAAUACAAGCAGCCAUUUGAGCAAAUUCCUUAAUGCCUUGACUUGGGUUGCCUUUGCGUUAUGUUAGCACCACUGGCAUUGGUCUUUGUUCCUUCCUGACCACGUAUUUUUGAGGUCUUGUAAACUGAAAGUUGGAUGGUGUCCACCGGGGAAGAGUUUUAGCAAAGCAUUAGAGUUUUCAGCUAUUUCUUGGUUUGGAGGAGGGGAAAUAGGAGAGGUUGUGCCUCGGUGAGUUUUUCUGGAGGCAGCUGGAUUCCUCUGUGCAAUCAGUCAAAGGCCGUGCGUCAGCCCUCCCCCAGCAGAUGAGGCAUCCAGAAGCACGCAGGGAGUUCCUCUCGCCUGAAAUUCUGAUCUGGAGAGUUUGAGCUGUCUGAUGCCAGUUUUUGUUCAUGGAUGUAUAAAAUGCCAUUGAUCACUGAUGAAGCGCCUCGGUCCUUUGAAUGCGUUUCUUAAUAUUACAGGAAAAAAAAUAGCAUGCAAAGUCUCUAGCCCUAGGAAAGACAGCAUGAACCCACAGCAUCCUUUUGUUGUUGCGAUAUCUUCUGGCCCACGUGUUGACUCCUGAGGCCAGUGGCAUAAAGCUAAUAUUCAUCAGAAUUUCACUUCUCUCAUUCCCUGCCCACAACCAACCAGUUCCAAACCGCGGUACAGACACCGUGCCCAUGCCAGGCUUCCACGUGUGCUGAGCAGGAUGAGCGCUGUGUGCAGGAUGAGCUCCAGCUGACCAACCCCACCACCCCUUAUGACUGUUCAGAAAACAUUUCGUGGAAUUUAUCAGUGCAAUUAGCAGAUUAGAGGAAAUUACCGUAAGUGAGUGUGUCAGAAGCUCUCCCAAAAAGUGCAACGGAAGGAUUGUUUUGGCGGUUAUUCAUCUUCAGCACCACGCUGGCCUGCGAAUGUUGGCUAGGAGAUUUAGAGCAGAGGUGAUGUUUUCUUCCUAAAGACUGAUUAAAAACGUUCCUUUCUUCUGCAGACCUGACCUCAGUGCUGUAAUGAUAGCAGUGUUGGUAACUGGUGUGAGAUGGCAGGAAGAUGAUAAAUCUUGCACUCAUCUGAAGAGUCAGAGAAAGUUGGUGUGGGAAAACGAUCAACCGUGUCCAAAAGAUACAACCAGCCUCAUGGCCCAGGAGUGAAGUGUCAGGAAAGGGCGAGGCAGAUGGGUUCAAAACCAUGCAAGUGAAGAAUUGGUUGGUCUGGUUCUUUGUUUGUUUGUUUUAAUCUCUUUUCCUGGAUUUUCAGGCCGUGCUUAUGGUAUCUGUAAAUGUUGUCUUGGCACAGUGAUGAUGGAAAAGUUUCACUUUUCCUGACUGUAGUCUCAUGGGACCACCAAGUUGCCUGCAGGGGAACCAUGAAAGAUCAGCCCAGGUCCUCCUGCUUGUCCCACACUCCUUUCCAACAUGCUCUUCCCAAGAAGCCAGAGGCCACAGUGCUAUUCCCUGUUCUCUCCCCAGCUCUAGUGCUACUCAGCUGCUCUGGUUUGGUUUAUUUAGAUUUUGUCUUUGUUUUCUAUUCUGUCAGCUUGUCUCCUCUUGAAGGUCUGUGAGCUCUGUUGUCCUUCCAUCCCAUUAAGAAGUGGGAUCUUUGGAUUGUUUUCUCGGAUUCUCUUCUGAUACUGCCUGGGGCCUUGUAGGGUCUGAAUGUCUGGGGAGAUCCUGGACCAUCCCCUCUCCAAAAUACCCCCUAGCCUGGGUUUGAGCUGAGCAGUCUUGUCUUGAAGAUGGCUGUAGCAGUUGAUCACUUCCACCAUUGAGCAGCGUGAUCUUAGCAGGAUUUGGCUUUCUCUCAGAGUUUUGCUGGCAGGCACCAUCUCCCUUGUGGCCAGGGGCUGGUGGCACUGAGUUCCUCUUUGCUCAGCGAGGAGCUCAGUGUCAGCUUAAGAACUCCCUUGCCUUUUGAGGCUAUGGCCUCCUGAUAGGGCCCCAUUUGGAUUAGAGCCCCAGAGGUUGGCAUUCCGCUGUGUGGUUUCUGCAUCCAGCAGUGACGUGAUGGGGGUUGGAGGGCACACAGUGCCUUCAAGGGGGUCCUGGCCUCGUGCCUUGCAAGGAGGAGACCAUCUCAUCCUUCAGCAAUGCGAAUUGCUUCCGCCCUGGGGGAACCUUCAGUACUACCUCCAGCCCCAGUGCAUGGUUGCAAGUCAAUGCCAAAGUUUUGCAGAAGCUUAUCCAGCAGUCAAUAAGCGCAGAUGUUAAUAAGCUGAAAGACCUGGGAGCGGUAAUUAGCGAGAGGAAGAAGAGGAAAAGAGGGGGCAUGUUUUUCUCUUGCUCCAAGCAGCAGUUGAGAAAGACAAGGUUUUGCACGUGUACAGGUGCCAUUAUGGGGGAAGCCAGGGGGAAACAGCCUGGGGCCAUGCACGUCCUCAUCUUUCCUUCAAAGAGCUUAGCGUGUUUCAUCUGUACUUCAUGCCAUGCGACACCAAAACUCUUCAUUCCUCCUGUAAAAGCCAAUCGCCCCCCAGCAAUCCCCUUGACAGCACUGCAAAUGGCUCAGGAAUAGUUAAUCUCAAACUCAAGGUCAAGAAUGGGAAAGGGGAAGAGAGGGGCAGCAAACAGGAUCUGCCCUGUUUGCUGCCCAGAGCACCAGCUUGGCCCCACUACUGGGCAUAAUGGGGAGACCGGGGCAGCACUGGGGACAGCAGAGGAGGAAAGUAACAUACACAAACAUGGAUCCAUUGGAAAUUGGGCUGCUUAACCCUCCCAACACCAGAACAGCUUCUUUACUUCACAGGUAGGCAGCUUGCUUCUAAGAAAUGGCCUUUCCUGUAAACCGAGAUCGUCUGAUAAAUCUUAUUAAUUCAAUCAAAUGACUCCACCACGGCUUGUUUGCAUGUCUGCGUGCUUUUGGAGUGCUUUUUAAACACAGGUUGUCUUUUGGGGAGGAACUACCCUGUUCUUAAAAUACUUCCCCAAAUCCAGCAGCUUUCAGGAACAAAACAAAAGGCGAGGACGAAGCGAGAGCGGUAAAAACAUCACAUUUCUAUCUGAGUUUUGUCUGUUUAAAGAGGAUUCAACCCCAUGGAAGCAUUUCCUACCAGGAUCUGAUAACCUCUCUGGAUUUCCACUUGGCUGCCCGUCCCCUGGUGCUCAACUGUCGGGAAACACAGCACCACCGAAGCCCUGGGGGAUGGAUGGAGGCUGCACUCCUUGUUUGCCAGUGUCCUCACACCUCUUUCCAAAGCCCGUGAAACCUGGUGGGGAGGGAAUUCAAGGAUCAAAUUGGUUAAGCAGGCUCUUUGCCGUGAUAAGCCUUGAUGGGAAGCUCUAGUUCUAGAGUAACCAAUGUGAAAGCCUGUUACUAUAAGAAGUACUUUCUUCCUGCCUCUUAGUAGCCAGCUACAGGGUGUUCCCUGUGGAGCGCAAAUAUUUUCGUCAGGCUAAAUUACAUUUAAUUAGUUUUCAUUAAGGUGAUGCCAACUUGCCCCUUUAUUAGCUGCAUGGAAACUCACUUAACUUCUGAAGAAGCCUGAAAACAAUGAGGCAGGGAAAAUAUCCUACUAGCAUCACGCUCACUUCUAUCUGCUACAGAAAAGGAAGGGACCACCAGACUGCGUGGGCUGCGCAGUGACUUUCCUGUCUUGGCAAGGCAGGCUGCAGUGUGUUUAAAAUGAUCUGUCUCCAUGAUGUGUUUUAAUUUUCCCUCAAUUAAUAUAAGUAAAAGUAAAAAAUAGAAGGCUGGGAUUGCUUCCAGUCCUUUGCUUGCUGGUCUGGCUCUUUGGGGUGCAACUGUGGCCCAUGGCCACCGUGAUCACCGGCAGUGGAAGAGGUGAGUCCAGAGCCUGCUAAGACUAUAUGGGCGUUUCUUGCUCCUAUGUGUCCUCCUGGCCCCAACAUGCUUGGUGGGUGGGGGAAGGAUGGGGGGGGUGAUCCACUUGCAGUGCAGAGAGCAGACUGGUGUUAGUGGAUUUUUCUUCCAGAAGCUGAAAUUGGGCAACCCUCAAGCCGGGAGUGGAACGAGCAGUGAGAUGUGAUUGCCUGGUGUGCGAGGCAGCCAAAAUACACAGCGACAUCCCUAUCGCUUCAUCUCCCAUCAGGGGUGAACGCCUCUGCUCUCCCCUGUGUGCUCUCCAGCCUGCGUAACACUGACGUUGUGCUGGGCCAGCUGAGUAGGAUAUGGGCAGGAUCAGGCCAGACCGGGUCCAGAAUCACGUUCCUGGCCAGAGCCAGUGCUGGGAGGCAGGAGCAGGAAGUGCUGGUGUGGGAGAUGCUUCCACCUGCCUGGGAUCAGGGUGUCCCUCUGGGCUGUGGCGGCCACCAGAGGUCCCACUGGGGGACAAAGUGGGUGUCUGUGUCGGGCUGGCUGCACAGCCAGUGUGAACACAACCGUGGUGGCAAAUUCUGAUUCCUCACUUGUUCUAAUUCUGGGCCAUUGGUUUAUGUUUCAUUCCUUCCCUCGCUGAAACUGGGGCACUUCUUUCCAGUCUUCAGGCUUGCAUUGGUUUCUUUAAGUUCUGCCUUCGUGUUUGAAUUUCUGCAGUUCUCUGUUGUACUGGAGCCCAGCACGUUCUUAUUUACCUGGGGAAUAAAAGCGUGGGCAGGGGGUACCUCUUCAGACCUGUGUUUUCUUCCGUGUCAUGAAAAGGUGCCCCCUCCAUCAGUGUUGCAUCUAAUGGAAGUGCUGCAGAAAAUGGUGGCAUGGGAGACCCAGUGUGGAUGCCCUGUGCCCCAGGCCAGUGGGGUAAGGAGCUGGAAAAGGACUGGGUUUGCCAUAGUACAUUUUUCAAUGAAUGGGAACUUGCAUUUUAAAAGGACAUUAUCUCAUACAAGCUUUGAGCAAAUCAGACCACAGAGAAUUCUCCACACCUUACACCUGCAGCAUUGCUGUGCCAUCCCCAGCAGCACUUGCAAGCUCAAGCUGGGAAACGAUGCAUGGGGUCCUGCAGCAACCCUGGUGAUGCUGAGGCUGUGCCAAACUCUUCUCUUCUGAAGAUGGGGUUCCCGUGGCUGAUUCCUCUGGGGAAGAUGCUGGAUGCAGCAUGCCCCUUCCAGAGGAAAGCAGACAAACAUCGCAGAGCUGUGGUUUAACUGUCCUUCCCACGGCUUCGGGAGGGAUGAAAGCAGAGCCCUGGCCAUUGCACAGUGCUUGGAUGGCUCCUGUCAGAACACAUCCUGCAGCAAAGGCUCUGGCCCAACUACAAACACCUGGGUAUUUCGAGAGCCACACUCUGAGAGCACCAGCAGGGCAUGAAGGGCAUGGGGAUCUUGCUGCUGCGUGCUGGCCCCUGCUAUUGGCAGCACCCAGCUUGCUCAGAGCAAUGCACAUCACCUUCCAUCCUUGCAUUCAUUCCUGUUUAUUCAAGGUGAGUUUAUUCAGCCAUGUCAGAAUCUAGAGGGAAUUUUAAUUUCAGUGUCUUACCUCUUUCCUUCACCAACCUUAGAAUCAUAGAAUUUUUUGAGUUGGAAGGGACCCUCAAAAGGCCAUCUGGUCCAACCCCUGCAGUCAACAGGAACGCCUACAGCUCCAUCAGCUGCUCAGAGCCCUGCUGAGCCUGACCUUGGGUGUUUUCAGCAAUGGAACAUCCACCACCUCUCUGGACAACCUGUGCCAAAGCCUCGCUGUUCUUACUGUAAAAAACUUCCUUAUACCCAGUUUAAAUCUCCCAUCUUUUAAUUUGAAACCAUUUCUACUUACCCUAUCACAACAGAGUCUGUCCCUCAUCAAUACUUCUUCUCUGAAACAUGCUGAGCAAAAAGACUCUGAACAUUACACCUAAAGGAUGGCAUCCCCAAAGGGGGAGGUGGAAGGGGGGGGGGGACUAGAUGGCUGAAAUAGUCCAAUCACAACCUUCUGCUCCCUCACUGUGCUUCCAGAACAUGCUUUGCUUCUGCCACUGCCCUGCAGGCAUGUGGCUCAGUUGGGUGGGCUUUGUGCAGGAUGGAGAGCAGGGCUGAGAGAGUAGCUAAACGUGUGUUAUUCAUUCAAAUGUCCUCUUCUUUAAGUCAGCCACGGGAGAGCUGGUUUGGUGCUGACACACACUUCUGCUGGCACCUGCAGGCUCCAUCACUGCUUUCACCCAGCCCUGACCUCACUCCUAAUCCCCGGGUGGUGGCUGUGGGCUGAGCAGCGUCACCUCCUGCACUGGGGCCUGGCCAUCCCUUAUCCCCAGAGCUGCCAGCAUGCUGUCAGCCCCGGGGCAGGUUGGGCUGUGAAUUGGCCAAGCCUGCUCACCUGGUGGGGCUGAGCAUCCAUCUGACCGGUCUUUCUGCUCCAGAUCAAACACAACCUGCUGGGAAGUUAAACCCAGCCUCUCACGGUCUGUAAUUUCCAGUGAAACCUCAGGCAUGGCUGGGAGGACACGGGCUUUUCUCCCUCCUCUCUCUUGCAGAGCCUCCCAAGGGCAUCCCAUCAUGGCACGUCUCUCUCGGUGUCUCUGUCUUCACAUCCCCUUGCACCACUGACCAGAACAAAGAGCAGCACCUCUGCUUUCAGUACAAGUUUCCCUUGGGGUCAGGGUGAUCUGUGAAGUUGAGCGUUGGUGGGUACGUGUUGGUGUGUGAGGGCACACCAAAGCCCAGUGGGCAAAUUGAGAAGAAUGGGCUGUAGAUACAUGGGGGGGGGGGGGGGGGGGGGGGGCACUGGGGUGUGGCCUUCAGUCCAUACCAGAUGGAACACGGGUAGAAAAGCAGAGAUAUUCAGGGCUUUGCAUGAAAACAUCACCCCACGCUUGACAGAGAGAAAUCAGGUGGCUGAUGCAGGGAAAGAGAAAAGCUAUGGUCAAUCCAAAAGAGUUUGACCCAAUUUUUCCUGCAGAGAACACAGCUCUUGAGGCUCUGAUGCAAGCAAGGUGACCAUCCCGCAGUGGAUGAUGUACACGGGGUGGGGGGGGGGGGGGGAUGAAAAGCCCCACAGUGGCAGUGAGGUCUCCUCCCAGUUGAUGCCUUGGUCAGGCACUCCUCUGGCCCUGGGAAGCCAUCCCAAAGGCCAAGGAAGAAAACUGGCUCUGGGAGCUGCGUAAAAUGGACUGAAUCUGCCAGCACAGGGCUUCUCCUGCCAGGCCCUGGACAUCAGAAGUAUCGCCUAAUGAAGCACCAAGAUGAGGAUCUGGAGCCAAAUUCCCUCCCCUUCUCAGCGCCGUAAAUCACGGUCCUUCUGUGCACUCAUCAGCAGCCAGAGCCGUAACACUGGAAGAGAUAAAACACAGUGCAGAAUCCCCAAACAGAGGCACGAGCCCUGUUUUCUCCUAAGAGAAAGCCAAAAGGGGAUCACAGCUGGAAUUUCCCUUCCAGUGGGAUAGAGGCUGGGAGCCGUGAUGGUGCCCUGCUGCUGGGUGGGGGCUGAGCCCACAUCCUGUGCUCUCUGGGGGCAUCGUA
rnacentral:lncRNA from 1 species